AAUAGGAAAUACGCGACAGCGAAGCGGUAAGAUACUCGCCGAGAUAAGUGGAGUAAAGAGGCAUUAAGAGUGAGAAGGGUUCGAAGAUUUCACAUAAAUUACGAACAAAGUCAAGAGAAGUCAAGAAAAGAGAAUCGAGAAAGCGGUAAAGAUACAAAAUUAGAGAAAUGAAGUUCUUCGUGGGUAUUUUGUUAAUAUUUACAACGAUGAUGCUAAUCUUAGCAUCAUCGAUAGUCGCUCAGGAGGAAGAACGACAUAACGAUAUCGUUCUAAAAAGUAUUGAAGAGUAUCCUCGAAGAGCAACUCCAAUUCCAUGUUCGAUAGGCCAGGAACCGCGGAAUCCAGAGGAAAAUGUCGCACGCCCGCAUAAUGACCGAGAGACAUAGGUUCAUGGAUAUCAACAUUUCAGCAAUAUCAGCUAAAAGCUAAAAGCGAGACCGUAGAAAAUGUCGUAGCAACGACAGAAGGAUGAAAAUAUUCUGUAUUUUGUAUUCGUAGGAUUUCAAUAAAUUCAUAUUGUUAAUUUUAACAGCCUCACACGUUGUAAAUUAUGCGCGCAUAUAGUUGAUUAAGAUAUCUGACAGCAUUAUUAGGAUCGCAUGAAUUCUGUGCGUUCCUCAGCCUAAAAUUUGUUAUGUUAUGCAAGAAAUUAAAUUAUAUUAUCUCAUAACGCAUUAGUUCGCAGAUGUUGAAGGCAAAAUUAAAUAAAGUGUGCAAAUUAGAAACUUUA